UUCGGGAGGCCGAGCGCGCCGCCCCGCUCGCCUCUUUGUGCCGCGGGGGUGUCGGUGCGCUCCCCCCACAUCCGGCCGUACCCGCUACUUAGACCCCGACCCCGGGACGGGGUGAAGGCAGCUACAAAGACUACGCCGGCUGCGCUCGGGGGACCGGAGGGAGGGAGGCUGCGGACGAGGGCGGGGAGGAGUUUGCGAUGGGAGGCGCCUGCAGGGGCUCCCCCAGUUCUGCGCUGUGAGCCGGGGCACAAAGAGCUCUCUGCACUGGCGCCGCAAGACCGCGGACCCGAGGACUCAAAUGCUGGAUGUCCGGCGUCCAGAGGGAUGCCGAGGGCCGGAGAACCUCUUCACUGAGAAGAAUAAUGGUACCGAUAAUGCCGGAGGCAUCUCCCUGCCUAACCCGUGUGGUUCCAGACAUUCACGUGGCCGCCACGACCCCACCAGCAUCGAAGGAGUAACCAAGAGUGCAAGCAAGUUUCUGAGACAGAGGAGAAGGAAGGGAAUUUCCGGGUUCUUGGAGAUGUUCAGGACCACACUGGGAAGCAGCCUUGCAGAUAAGUAUUCCAGCUUCCCAGCCCACAGCCUACCAGCCUGCCCUCUCCUGCCCUCUACUGGUCUGUGGAGCAAAGUACAGCAUCCCUGAAUCCCCAAAUCCAGGGAGAAAUCAGCGCUCCAGCUCAUUCGCUUUCCUAUGCCUAAGAUACAAAGAAAAAGCUUGUCCCCAUUUUGUGGGGCCCCAGAGAGUAAUUUUCCUACCCUACUUUUGACAUCAAGGCUAGUAUUUUACAAACUCCACCCUCAGGGACUUCUGGGGAGCUGAGUUGAGUAGCUUCAUCUUGCGCACCUGUAGAUCUGGUGUCAGGAGGAGCCUGGGGACUCCUGGUGAUUUGGGCUGGCCCUUCCCUUAUUGGUUCUUGUCCUCUGUCAUCAUAUUUAUAAAACUUGGCUAGGUCUCCUUUUCUUGCCUGGCAGUCAAGUGGGGACCUUGGCACUGUGACCCCAGGGCGCAUGCUUCUUGGUUUAAGGGUCUGAGCACGUCUCCAGCUCUGGGCCCGGGCCCCCAAGUCCAAGUGCUGACAGCAGGCUCUGAAGAUACGGUGAACGGGCCCAGGCCUGCCUGUGGAUGAAGAUAACUCUGCUGCUGUUUGCUGUUUAGUCCCUAAGUCAUGUCUGACUCUUCGCCAUCCCAUGGACUGUAACUCCUCUGUCCAUGGGAUUUCCCAGGCGAGAACACUGGAGUGGGUUGCCAUUCCCUUUUUCAGGGAAUCCUCCUGACCCAGGGAUCAGACCUGCAUCUCGUCUCCUGCGUUAGCAGGCGGAUUCUUCACCACUGAGCCACCGGGGAAGCCCUAAGAUAGCUUCGCUGUCACUGGAAGAGAAGCCUGGGAGGUGGUCCUGGCUCAGGAUCUGGGGCAUCCUCUGGUCUUCUCCACACUGGAGACACGGGGAUUUUGCUAAAGAGCCCCAGCCCACCAUCUGGCUCCCCACCUUUUCUUUUUCUGGGGCAUCAGAAAAGAGGAUAGGGGAUGAGGGUGGGGGGGUGUUGAGCAGAAAGAUAACUGAGGUUGGGCCUUCUGCUUCCCAUCCUCUGUCUCAAACUGAGGGUGGUUACUGCACUUUAGGUGAAUGUCUGGACUGGGAGGACCCUGGGACCCAGAGGGAGGGGCCGCCGGUCCAGCAUGACACGGGAUGGCAGAGCUGGGAUAAGAUGUCCGGCUUCUCGCCCUGCUCCAUGCACUCACUCAAGCUGAGCUUGCCCUGCUCUCUCUGGGGUCCCAUGCUGCUGUUGGCAGGGAACAGGGAGGUGUUCUGGAAAGCGAAAGGUUUUCUAGGGUGGGGGGAAGGGGGGUGGGGGUGGUGCGCCUGGGCCCAGCCUCCCUGGGUCCCAGGCCAGGGCUGUCUCCUUAGCAGAGAGGUCUGGCCCGGGCUAGGGAGGGGGCCUGGGUGUGGUUUUCUCCUGUGUUGCGGUUGGCUCUUUUGUCUUCCAGGAUGGGCCUGUGGGGGUCUCCGUGGGGUAGGAGCUGGGAUCAGGGCACUGCCAGAUGUGGACUGAGCACCUUCUCCUGGAUAGAAACUGAGGAUUCGGAGGUCAACGUGAGAUGUGGUCCUGCCCUCUCAGAUCUUCGUGAAUGUCGAGCCUCCCAAGGACUCUGAAGGCCCUUUCUGCCCACCUGGACCCCUGCUUCUCAUCUGCCCGUGAUGUCCGCAGGGCCAGCUCUGGGCGCUCUGUGUUGCUUCCAUACACCCUGCUGGCCCUGUCAAGGCAGCGCUGCCCCGGCUGUGUCUCUAGGACUCCUGGCCCGCCCUCCUUCUGGACUCUGGCAGUGGUGAUACAGGGAGCAGUCUUCGCUGGUUUUCUGGAACCCUGGACAGCUCCCCGAAGAUCUCAUCCUUCCUAACUCCUGGGCCUCCCCUGGAUAAAGGCCCCUCCUGGUUGGUGCUCGGCUGAGGACAGUGGUGGAGCGUGAGGGAGGCUGGCAGCCUACCAUCCAUCCCCUCUGCAUCUGCCUGGACCUGCCUGCCUGUCCCCACCUCUGUCCAGGACUGGGGGCCCUUCCUGACCCUGUGAAGACCUCACUGCUCCUCCCAUCCCCGCCGGUGACCGGGUGGAGCUCGGCCUGGGCCCAGGCCCAACUGACCACACCCUUGGCAAGGCUGGGUCUCACAGGACCUGCAGGAUGGGGGCAGGAACCUGUGGAUGGGCGUCAGGGACGAGCUGCCAGUGGGGUGGAGGGGGGACGAAGCUCGGGGCGUUGGUGGGCUGGAGUCUGUCUUAUGCUCUUUAUGUGUGAGUGAUUCUCAUUUUUCUGGAGGCUUCUGGGGUUCUUCUUCCUAGCUUCUUUCCCUGAUGGUCACCAGGAGGAGGCAGUCUAGGCCUCAGGGGAGCUUGGGCCUUCCCCUAAUGCUGUGGAGCUCUGGGAGAGGUUAUCCUGAAAGGAGAGGGUUUCCAAGAGAGGAGAAGACCCCAGCCAGGGGGCUUGUGAGGGAGACAGACCCUGGGCCUGGCUCCUGACAUCCAAAGGGAAUAGUCUGGAAUCAGCCUCACCCUGGCCCAGUCUCAGACUCCUGCUCCUGGUCACCCUCAUCCCUGGGAAGCAGAGGUGGGCAGGGUAGGCUACGCACAGGGACAGCUUCCCCAUCACAGGGUGGUGGGCUCGCUCACAUGCCCUCCCCUUCUCCAGUCCCCCCGGGGGGCCAGCCUCAGUGCUUGCAGGAGGGUGGCUAUGGCCUUCCCUGGAGAAGCUCAAGAGCCUGAUGUCCUUUUCCUGGGGCAGGAAGGGACGCUGCCAUAACGGAACUCCACUCCUGGAUGGCUGAACUGCAGAAAUGUAUUUUCUUAUAGUUCUGGAGGCUGGAAGUCCAAGACCAAGGUGGCAGGGAUGGUUUGUGGUGAGCCAUAGCUCCCUGGCCGGCAGAUAGAACCUUCUUGCUGUGUUCUCACAUGGCCUUCUCUCUGCAUACGCAGAGAGAGUGUGUGUGAGAGGAGAGAAAGAGAUAUCAGGCAUCUCUUCCCUUUCCUAUAAGGGCACUGGUCCUAUGGGAUUAGGGCCUCAUCCUUAUGACCUCAUUUAGCCUUAAUACCUAUGCCAAAGCCCUACCUCCAAAUAUAGUCACACUGCGGCUGUGAAUUUAGAGGGAGACACAAUUCAGUCCAUAGCAGGUGGUCACCACAAACCUGGAAGCUAGAGCCAUCUCCCCUUUAGAAUUGCCACCCCCGAUGGGGAGGGGAAGGAGAAGCAGAGACAUGGGAAGCAGAAACGGUGCGGCAGGUCCUGUGCGAGGUGGGCCCUGGGAGCCUGGGAGAGACACGGGACUGGCCGAACCCAGAGCAGUGGAGAGGAGCCCCCGGGAGAGGAGGGUCCUGUGAAGAGCCUGGGCUUUGGAGCCUGAGGGUUAUGCUCUGAGGUGCAACCUUGGGCAAGUCACGUCACCCCUGUGAGUCCGAUUGCCACGCUGAAGCAGGAACCAUCAGCUCACCCGGGGGCGGGGCACAGGGAGAAGUCAGUGAGGUCUCGCGGCUGGCACAGCGCCUGACUCUUAGUAGGUGCUCAGUAAACACUCCCGUCCGUCUGGGAGUUUGGACUUAGGGCUUCUCUCUUUUGGGCACCCUGGACUGUAAACUCUGCAUCUUUGAUCCAGAGGCGUUUCUGACCAGUGCUUUCCCAGCUCUAUCUUUUUGUUUGUUUGUUUUUGGCUAUAUGGGGUGGCAUGUGGGAUCUUAGAUCCUGGACAAGGGGUCGAACCUGUGCCCAUGGUGCUGAGCGUGCAGUCUUAACCCCUGGACUGUCAGGGAAGCCUUUCCCUCUUAUGUUUUUAAUAUCCCUUUCUAAUCAGGUCAAGGAAUCCACUGCCUGGCAUGGCCUCCACAGUAGCUCUGAAUGCUUCCUGGGGAAUUUAGUAUCUACCCGUCUCAUCAGAAUUGAGCACCUGCUGUGAGUCCUUCCCUGUGCUGCUCAUUUGAGGGGGACAGAAGUACAGAUAUGGCCGCGAUUCAAGCCGGCAGGGUUUCACAGCCAUGCCAAGUGGAGGAAACCAGUCCACACAGAGAAUGAGCGGAUGGGCAGAAAACAGUCUCCUGAGGCACAGGUUCUAAGGGCACCCCAGUGGGUGGGAGGGAGGGAGAGCCCAGAGUAGGCUGGAAAGGCUUCCUAGGGAGGCAGAACUAGUCAGGACUUUGGGAGGAUGAGAAAGAUGUGGCUUAAAUGAGAGUUUUCCAAGGGAAAUUAGGUAAGCGAUUCCCAAAGUUCUAAGGGAUGUCAUUGCUCUUAAAAAAAAAAAAAAAUUAAAACUCAGUAGGUUUCUGUAGUGCAGGACUUAUCAAAGCCUGUAAAAGCACUGAUGGGAAUACUCAAGGACAGACAGAGGACUAAGUAUUUUCCCCCAAGCUUUACUGGCAACAAAACCCUUUUCUUAUGGAGCAUCAUUUAGAACCGCAGAGAGUCCAGGCUGGGGUUUCCGUGGGAGAAUGAUAACCGUGAUAGGAGAUGACAAAACUAGGGCACACUCAGGGGCUCCGGAGCAGCGGCUGGCAAGGCAGCGCUUUCCCUGGGCCGGUGAGUCAGACUCGGCUGCAGGAGUCAGGGGAGCUCUACUUGGCUGGAGCGUUUGUGGAAAGGGCCGGCCAGCUGCUGGGGUAGCCGGAUGCCUGGCGGUGGGGGACAGAGGGAGCUGUCCACUGGAGCCAGUGACUCUGGGGUAUCAGACCUCUUGUGAGAAGAUGCUGGUAUGUGCGUGUGUGCGUGUGCCUGAGUGUGACAGGAUCCAGCCUUCUGGGAAGCAGUGACCAGGACCAGGCAGGGGGUCUUUCCAGCCAGGACCAGCAGGGUCCAUUUUCGGGGGAUCUGAAGUGGCUGGGGGAGGGGCCCUGAGGACCACCGACGAGAAGCAGGGACGCCGAUUCUUUUGGGCAGGGUUCACGUGGACAGUCUUAUCCCGGGGGCGGGGCUGAGGCACUGGCGGCAGACCCCCUGCCCUGGUCAGGCCCGGCUCCCUGGCUGGCGGGGGCGGGCGGCCUCUGGAGAUGCGGCUGGGGCAGUGUUGCAUGGUGGGAUUAACCUACUAACCCAGGGCUCGGCCGGGACGCUGUGGCCUGUGGCGAGGUGCCUGGCCUUCUGCCAACCAACUAACCCACUAACCAGGCCCGAGCAUGCCCUACUAACCACCGCCCCCCCCCCGCCCCCCCGCCCCUCGCAGCCAGAUCCUACUAACCUCGCAGCUCACGGGCCUUCCCAGGGGUGGGGAUGUGGGGGCAGACGAGGCUCCGGAAGGCCCUGCCCGUGGCCUGGGAUCUCUGUGCAGACCCACAUUCCAGGACCGGGCGUGCAAACAGGACUUGCCAACUCUGCCGCUUCCUGCUUGGGGUGGGGGGGGGGGUGGGGGGCGGCGACUGGGAGAGCGAGUCACCCCGCCUCUCUGAGUCCGUUUCCUCGGCAGUGGAAUGGGAGGCCGCCUCCCGGGUGGCCGUGAGCAUUCCCAGGAGGAUAGAAUUCUUGACACAUGGCAGAUACUUAAUCCACAUUUAUGCGAGGUGGGGGCGGGAGGCCCAGAAAACUGGACCCAUCGGGUCCCCUGGCAGGCCCUGGUCCCUCUAGGUGGUUUGCACACAGACCCCUCUGCCUGGGGCCAGACACUUGCUUUGAACCCUUAACUGUGUCUUUCCCCACACUCUUCCUCUCCUCAGCUUUUUCCCUAUAGGCAGUUCUUUUGUUCAAUUACUAACUCGUCUAACCCCGGGGCGGGGGGGGCCUCAACUGCACCCCGACCACCCCCCCUAACCAACUAACGGACCCGAGUGUGUUCUUCCUUUUCUCCUAGCGAUUCCCGUGUGUGUCUGCUGAGGUGCCCCUGUCCGCUGGUGCUGUGCUCUGACUUACUAACCCAGUCCCUACUAACCCUCUUUUCUCUUCUUACUAACCCCAGCCCUGCCGAGCUCUGGGCCCCCGUGGGGGGGGAUAGUUCCCCCCUCCUUUUGGCAAGCAGACGUCCUAGGCUGGUCCUGCAGACAGAUGCCCUACUUUGCUGCCCCGAUUGGCUGUGAGUUCAGAGUCCCCUGGGUCAGGUCUGAGGGGGGCGAAGGCCCGGAGGAAGAGGGGCUCCUGCGGUUCUAGAGGGAGGCCGGCCUCUGAGCACAGCGUCUCUCCUCUGCGCAGAGUCUGGGGGCCACUGGGAGUUGGCCGGAGCAGGGCAACCUCUGUGGUGUGAAGGUGGAGGCCUGCAGGUCUCCUUCCAGCCAAGGGAGAGGAGAGAAGGGGCCUCUGGGUCGUCCUUCCCAGGGAAGUGGGGGCAGAGGUUCUUACUGGGCAAGUGGCUGAUAGAGGCGGGGCGCCACUGAGGGGCGUGUCCUGCACAGGAAGUCAACAAAGGGGGCGUGUCCCUCAAGGGAGUUAGUAAAGGGGCUUGUCCCUCGCCGGAUGUCAGUAAGUGAUGACUUCCUCCGCACUGGAAGUCACUGAAAGGGUCUUAACCGCGGUGGAAAUCACUGAGGGCAGCGUUUGGUAUAGGAAGUCAGACAAAGGGGGCAUUUCCUAUAUUUGAAGAAUGGGAAGAGGGGUAUUUGUUACACCGUUAGUCAGUGAGAGGGGGAUUUCUGCAUUAUCGCAAGGCGGUGAAGAGGAGUGACCAAAGAGAUGAGUGACGGGGGCCGUUCAAACGACAGGGAGUUAGCUAGAGGGGCCCUUCUCCACCCAUGGAGCUGCGAGAUCCGGUUUCCCACGCCAGAAGUAGGUGUGGUCCAUUUUCCCUACGGAUGCCUUUGAGAAGGGCAGUCCACACUGGGAAGGGCAGUCCACACUGGGAAGCUUGAGAAAACAGCAGAUCUGAAGUUUGUGAGGAAAGCAGGUCUUGGGCAGGGGGUCUGCGGGAGAAAGUGGGAAGCAACCAAUGAACCCCCGGCGCCCACAGGGCCCUGCACGCCUUGGGCCAGUCAGAAAUUCACCCUGGCUCCUUGUUCUUUUCACCCCCAUGUCCCUGCCCCAGCCUGUCUACCCCAGAGCCCGCCAGCCGCUAAGCCAGGGCCACACCUGGGGGUGAUUUUAUGCCUCACCUCCAGUAGGCACCUUGGUCUCUUUGGGCUAAUCUCUGGCUCCUCUGCACUAACUCUUGCUCCCACCCAGCUAAUCCUUGCCUCGCCCUGGCUGCCCCAGGGGCUGACCAUUAACAGCCAGCCCAUCUUGGGGGGCUCCAGGCUCCUGGCCUGGCUCUGACCUGCUCUUAAUUAACCUCUCCUUCACCUGACUAACUCCUGCCCCCUGAUCUGUUCCUCUCAGCAGAAACUAACGGCUUGUGGAUUUCUUUCUGACUAACAACAGGUCUAACACUCCUCGUCACUAUUACUAUUAACAGCUUGGAUGUCGGCAUGGCUGGGACUUGACUAACACGGGGAGAGGCGGAGCUAGUCGUGUGGGCCGUGGUGACGGCUCUGGGGAAGAGCCAGCUGAAGUCAGGAAGACCUCGGUGCUCAAAAGGAGAUGCUGGGGCUGGGCUGUGGCUCAGGCCGAAUGGAGGAGUGGUGUCUGCUGUGGGGCGGGUGGGGUGGUGGUGGGUGGUCAGAAGCAUACUCAGCCUUCCAAGAUUUUGGCCGCUAGACAUAUCCUAUUAACCCCUUAUAACCUGCAUUCAUAUUCUGGUUCUUUUAUACAAUAGCCUGAUAGUUGUAUUAGUGCCUGCAGCUUUUGUAGCCCCCCACCCCCGCCCCAAAGGCCUGUCUAGUGUGUAGAGAGGAGAUGCCAUUGGAGUCAUCAGUCACCAGCUGAGAGUCUAGAGUCCUUGAUUUGGGGACUUCAGAGUUUGGAAGCCUUAAGACAGAAAACUUCAGGUUACAACCCCAUCACCCACUGACACCUUGGUGUCAAUUAGCUCAGCUUUCUCUUCGAACUUCUGUGCAACCAGCUGCCCUGGGAGGACCAGAAUGUGGCUGGAGGGGAGUCUCUUCAGGGCUGGGGGAGGCUCUGGGAACAGAGGAGAAGCUUGAGUCCGGGGGUUCCUGGGUGGGUGUAAGAGGGGAAACCAGGAGGCUGGGGAGGGGGGAUAAGAGGGGCUGUUUUGCUGGUUUUGUCUGGUAGUCAGGGUCUGUGGGAGAGGACAGCUUAUAGCAGAGCCUGGAGGAUUGGAUCAGCUCAGGGGCAGGGUCAGAGUCCUGCCUGGAGGCUUUGCGGGCAGUUUGCUUGAGUCAUUGAAUGCUGCUGUGGGGUUGAGAGCCUCUCUGACAGUCACAGACUCAGAGCUAAACUUGUGGAGCCGCUGGUGAGGUCUGAAGGGUGAUCCAGAGGCCUGAGCUGCAAAGGGAAGGCGAGAGGACACAUCAGAACCUGGGAAGAGGGGGAGCCUGCACAGAGGAAGCACAUGCCUGCUGCCCUCUAGUGGCCGCCUCGCUUCAUUUCACUGGUAACAUUUCCCAUUCUGGGGGGGCCUCUUUAUUCAACUGCAAAGACCUGAUGAUGCUGAGGACCUACUAUGUGCCCGGCACUGCUCUGGGUCUUGGACCCACGCACAGGUUUUUCCAUAGUGCUUGAUUAGCUUGGUGGGGGAGACAGAAAUAAAACAGGUAAUGCAGUGAGGUGGGCACCAUGAUAGGGGUGAUGGGCCUGUGGAAGUGCCCAGGAGGCAAAGGAUGAGAAACACCUGCUGUGUGCCAGGGGCGGUGCUAGGCAUCAGGGAUGAGUGGUGAUUAAACAUCAUACAACCUUCAGGAGCUUUAAUGCUAGCGUAUUAAAGCAUUAUUAAGCUUUAAUGCUAUGCUUAGAGCGGGUGUGGGGUAGAGUGGGCUGUGGGCCACCAGUAGAUUUUCUGAAGAGGAAGGCAUCUGAGCAGAGUCCUGGCUGGGCAGAAUGUGGUGGCGAGAAGGGAGGACACAGAGUUCUGGGGGUCAGAGAGGACUGAAGAAGUUCUGGAAGUGUUGUAGGGGACGAAGCGGGAGACAGAGGGGAAGUGGACACAUACCAGAUGGUAUUGCCAGGGAGUUUAUCCUAAGGGCAAUGGUGGGGGUGGUGGGGUGGGGGUGGUUGUGGAUGUGAUCUGAGGAGGGGAGAUGUUAGAUUUCAGUUCUAGGCUGACAACGUGACUGUUUCAGCCUAGGUGGAAUUCUGAGAUGCUGGUAACAUGUUCUCGCCAAAUUUUAGGAAACUGGUUAGAACUUCUGGAAAGGUGGUGGAUCCUCAGAUCCAUCUUAAGAUAAAGAGGGCCGUGUUCCUGCCAGGCAGGGGCCUGGCCGAGGGGACAGACAGGUUGGAGGAACAGUCUUAAAAUCAUGUCGUCCCAAGCCCCUGGAAUGGUCAUGCUGGUCUGGGGGAAGACCUGAGGGGACGUGGUCCUGGGGCUGGAAGUCCACAGGCGAGUCUCACUGGAGAGGGACCCUGUUAGUCCCGUGUGGCUGCAAGGGACAUGCAGGCUUGGAGGAAGCUUCCAAGAGGCUGGUCCCAGGGAGGGAAAAAUGUGUCUUGCUGGGUAAUAAACCUUAUGGAGACAGAAGGAUUGGGAGUAGGCCACCUUUGAGACUGAGGAUGGUGGUGGGAUUCUGGGAUUCUGUGUGUGAGUGUGUGUGUGUGUCCUUGACUUACUACUAGAGCAAGCCGAGCCCAGGAAGGCAAUUCUGUUCUCCACCCCAGAGCCCGGCCUGCCAAUGCUCACUCUGGCCUGGAUUCCUCUGAGCAUCGAGCUCGCUGGGAGCUGUACCUCAGGAGCCCGGGAGCUGGCCUCCCAGCUGGAAGAGGCGACUCAAUCCUUUAACAGCCAGUGUGGAGGGAGAGGCCACGGUGGUCCCUGCUGGGGGCUGUGCUUGCGUAGAUAUUGAUAUUGCACACACUGAGCUGGGGGAUUCCCUGGGGGGGACUGGUCCCAUCCCCACAAAAGACCCCAAAGGCCCUCUUGAGCAUCUACCCAGGGAACCCACUGUUUUGCUUGAAGAGACCAGAGAGGAUGCUUUCCAUGUCACUGCCUCCCGGGGAUGCAAACUGUGGGGAUGGAAAUUCUGCUGUUGAUUAAACAUACUUUUAUGUGUAUCCAGCAAUGAAGUGUGAACUUGGCCUUUUGCUUUCACCCAUAAAUGCAGCUUCGUUAGUGGAAAAGACCAUUUUGAUAUUAAAAACUAAUUCAUACGCAGAGGAUCACUGUGGCUUAAAAGGAGUGUGUAAUUUGUGGGGAGGGGGAACCAGUGGCAUUUUCCAGGAACCAGAGUGGACUCUGCUAAUCUUUUCUCAAGACUGUGCCCUUAAAAGCCAAUACAAUAUAGAUUUCAUUUGUAAUUGUGGGAAAAUACACAUUAACCAAGUUUUCAACCCUAACCAUUUUUAGGUCUACGGCAGUGGCAGCAGG
ensembl:lncRNA